GAAGGUGGCAAGCGUUGUUCGGAUUCACUGGGCGUACAGGGAGCGUAGGCGGUUGGGUAAGCCCUCCGUGAAAUCUCCGGGCCUAACCCGGGAAGGGCAGAGGGGACUGCUCAGCUAGAGGAUGGGAGAGGAGCGCGGAAUUCCCGGUGUAGCGGUGAAAUGCGUAGAGAUCGGGAGGAAGGCCGGUGGCGAAGGCGGCGCUCUGGAACAUUUCUGACGCUGAGGCUCGAAAGCGUGGGGAGCAAACAGGAUUAGAUACCCUGGUAGUCCACGCCUUAAACGAUGGAUACUAAGUGUCGGCGGGUAACCCGCCGGUGCCGCAGCUAACGCAGUAAGUAUCCCGCCUGGGAAGUACGGCCGCAAGGUUG
rnacentral:rRNA from 1 species